GGGAGUAAAUCUCUUUAGGUAGUUUUCUGGCUGGGGCUAGAGCCUACUUACAAACUACCCUGAAAAUGCCUUGCAGGAAGGAUCAUCUGGAGACUCCCAAAUGUUAGAGCUGCCUUGGGGAAGAUCCUAAAAGAGAUGAAAGGUCUUUUGUGUGUGGGGGAUGCUGAGCUCCUGCUGAAAUUCUUUCACCACCGGAAGCAGAGAAGUCUAUUCUAUACGGAGUCCAACCUCUGGAGAGCAGACAUUUACUGAUUGCUCUGUCCGUUAUCCACAGUGACAGAUGGAAAUGAAAAAAGACUGAAGGUGGGAAAAGAGAAGAAAGGAGGAAGUGAAGGAGAAGACAGGUAGUCCGGGGGUGUUCCAUGAAUAGAGAUCAUCCCAUAUAUUUUCAGCAAACUACUGUAUGUUGUUUGACUCCACUAAGUCUUUUGUAUGCCACUAUUUUGGGCAAUCCCAAGGUCUCUGAAUCUUUCAGACUACCAAAGACAGUGACUUUUACAUGCUUUCCUCGUGGCUUACAAAACUAGCACGGCAGAGAUGGUGGAGGACCUCCCGUUUGCGUGCGUAGAGGACUGGACUUAACAGAUUUCGCAACUAGAUGUGCUGCCUUUACUGGUUUUCUCACAAUGUGUGGACUGCGUAUCCAAAUCAAGGGAGAUUGAAUUUAUGACGUCUCCGUUCUAUUACUGAGAGAAACCCAGAAGAGAAUUGAAAAUGUAUCACUUUUAAACAGCAGAACCUUUAGAGAAAAAAAGCCAUACAGAACUGGGCCAAGGAAUAGAAACAUCCCUCUGUAGCUACUGAUUUCUACAGUAUGCAAGGCAAUUAGGCAAUGACUUUUUCUGGCAAAGGCGAACAGGGCAAGAAGAAGAGAGUUAAUGAAUGCAAGUCAUUCAGCUGACCAAUGAAGACCAGCUGGAUAAGAGAGUCUGAAGAUAACUGAGUCACCAUUCGUAUUCCUUGCUCAUCCUGCAAAAGAGGCAUCGUGUAGCAUCAAAGGACAGGGACCUUAUAGACUGCAUUCCUACCUCCCUCAAGGAAGGGGAGACUUGUGCAUGAACUCAUCUCCUCAGCUUGGAUUCUGGGCUAAAGGGGAUAAAAAUCCCUGACAAGGAGAAACUGGGACCUUUGUCCUGUCAGGACUCUGAGGGGCAAAGGUGCCUAAACAUAAGCAAGAGAUUCCCAUGCUGCUUG